UACGGGGGGGGCAAGCGUUGUUCGGAAUUACUGGGCGUAAAGGGCUCGUAGGCGGCCAACUAAGUCAGACGUGAAAUCCCCAGGCUCAACCUGGGAACUGCGUCUGAUACUGGAUGGCUUGAAUCCGGGAGAGGGAUGCAGAAUUCCAGGUGUAGCGGUGAAAUGCGUAGAUAUCUGGAGGAAUACCGGUGGCGAAGGCGGCAUCCUGGACCGGCAUUGACGCUGAGGAGCGAAAGCGUGGGGAGCGAUCCGG
rnacentral:rRNA from 1 species